rnacentral:rRNA from 1 species
GAAUUCACUAGUGAUUCAGGCCUAACACAUGCAAGUCGAGCGGUAGAGAGAAGCUUGCUUCUCUUGAGAGCGGCGGACGGGUGAGUAAUGCCUAGGAAUCUGCCUGGUAGUGGGGGAUAACGUUCGGAAACGGACGCUAAUACCGCAUACGUCCUACGGGAGAAAGCAGGGGACCUUCGGGCCUUGCGCUAUCAGAUGAGCCUAGGUCGGAUUAGCUAGUUGGUGAGGUAAUGGCUCACCAAGGCUACGAUCCGUAACUGGUCUGAGAGGAUGAUCAGUCACACUGGAACUGAGACACGGUCCAGACUCCUACGGGAGGCAGCAGUGGGGAAUAUUGGACAAUGGGCGAAAGCCUGAUCCAGACGUGCCGCGUGUGUGAAGAAGGUCUUCGGAUUGUAAAACAAUGUAAGUUGGGAGGAAGGGCAUUAACCUAAUACGUUAGUGUUUGACGUACCGACAGA